CACGUAGGGACCAAGCGUUGUCCGGAUUUAUUGGGCGUAAAGAGCUCGUAGGCGGUUCAGUCAGUCGGGUGUGAAAUCUCCGGGCUCAACCCGGAGGGGCCACCCGAUACUGCUGGACUUGAGUUCGGUAGGGGAGCGGGGAAUUCCUGGUGUAGCGGUGAAAUGCGCAGAUAUCAGGAAGAACACCUAUGGCGAAGGCAGCUCUCUGGGACGGUACUGACGCUGAGACGCGAAAGCGUGGGGAGCGAACAGG
rnacentral:rRNA from 1 species